ACCUUAAAUGUAUUAGCUGGAUCUGUCUUUGAGACUUGGUUUGACUUGGCGUAAUAAGUAUUUCGCUAAGGACAUUCUUCGGAGUGGCCUCGUUUCUAGGACGCUUGUCCGCUUUCCAAUACAAGUUCCACCUCGUGGACAUGACUUUUUAUUAUCUGGCCUCAAAUCAGGUAGGACUACCCGCUGAACUUAAGCAUAUCAAUAAGCGGAGGAAAAGAAACUAACAAGGAUUCCCCUAGUAACGGCGAGUGAAGCGGGAAAAGCUCAAAUUUGAAAUCUGGCAGCCUCAGGUUGCCCGAGUUGUAAUCUAUAGAAACGUUUUCCGCGCCGGCCCAUGUACAAGUCCCUUGGAACAGGGCGUCAUAGAGGGUGAGAAUCCCGUCCUUGACACGGACCACCGGUGCUUUGUGAUACGUUUUCAACGAGUCGAGUUGUUUGGGAAUGCAGCUCAAAAUGGGUGGUAAAUUCCAUCUAAAGCUAAAUAUUGGCGAGAGACCGAUAGCGAACAAGUACCGUGAGGGAAAGAUGAAAAGCACUUUGGAAAGAGAGUUAAACAGUAUGUGAAAUUGUUGAAAGGGAAACGAUUGAAGUCAGUCGUGUCUAUUGGACUCAGCCGGUUCUGCCGGUGUACUUCCUUUAGAUGGGGUCAACAUCAGUUUUGAUCGCUGGAAAAGGGCGGGAGGAAUGUAGCACUCUCGGGUGAACUUAUAGCCUUCCGUCGUAUACAGUGGUUGGGACUGAGGAACGCAGCAUGCCUUUAUGGCCGGGGUUCGCCCACGUACAUGCUA
rnacentral:rRNA from 1 species